rnacentral:tRNA from 1 species
GUCUCUGUAGCGCAAUGGAUAGCUCGUUGGACUUCUAAUCCAAAGGUCGUGGGCUCAAACCCCACCUGGGAUG